UCGGAGCGGCUGCACCCGAUCCCAUUCCGAACUCGGCCGUGAAACGCUCCAGCGCCAAUGGUACUUCAUCUUAAGAUGCGGGAGAGUAGGUC
rnacentral:rRNA from 1 species